GAAACAGGGCGACACUCCUCACAAAAUGGUCAGUAAGCGGAUAUUUUGUGACAGCACGCAGCCGAGCCGAUGUUGGCCAUUGUUCUAAAACAGGACGGUAUGUGAGCUGAGAGAGGAUGAGCUGAGUCCUGAUGAUCCAGAGGUUGAAUCAGCAGCAGCUUGUGUGUAGAGAGACUCUGACUGGACCAUGUUACUGGGAGGUGGAGUCAAGAGGAGAGCUUCAUCCACAUGUUUCUCCAUGUCAGACCAGUGGUGUAGUCUAUGUGAUACACAGCGUUCACUUUUGGACCAUGGGGGCUUCCGUCAAGCGUGACGUGGACCCGACGUUAACUACUAAGGAAGCAGUGAAGUUGUGCGGCGGGAACGAGUCGACAACUUGAACUGGUCCAACGCUCGUUAGUGGAGAAGGAAUGUGGAGAAAAAAACAAUGAAAAGAAAGAAAAGGAAGCCCAGUGACACUAUUUGAGAUGGUAGGGAAGGAGAGCUGAUGACGCUGUCGUCCUACCUGGUAAGUGGAACUCAUGUAUGUUAGAAUAAUAGUCACCACUAUUGGAACAGCAGCUGAUUGGCUCAUUGAAUUCUAUCUAAAACUAGUCACUGGUGGUUUGGUUGAAAUCAAGGAGCUGCUGCUGCUGCUGCUCUGUGUGUGUGUUUGUGUAGAUGAGAACUGGACCUGGCCAGCCUUGUGGAGUGAGAGUCAGGAGAGGGAAUUUAAAAACAGGCCUCCUUGGUUAGAGCGGAGAAACGGAAAGUUAGGGAAACAUUAGACGACAUUUAAAGCUGCUAGAAACAGUUUAAAUGUACAGAGAUAACGCUGUGUUCACAUGUUAAUGUAGUUCAUUCAGAAAGUUGUUCAUUAAAAUGAAAUUAAUUCAUUGUCGUCUUAUUAAUUAAGACCCCAUGUUCACCAUUAAAUGACUGAUGUGUUGGAUAUAGUUGAGUUUUUCCUCCUUUUGUCUAGUUUUCAGGCCUUUUCUUCUCCAUGGCUGAAGAUUGUAAACAGUUCAUUAAUAGUUGUGUCUCUGUUCAGCAGGUCUUAAUGCUAAUAUAGAUACAAAAAGGACAAUAAU